UGGGGAAUAUUGCACAAUGGGCGCAAGCCUGAUGCAGCCAUGCCGCGUGUGUGAAGAAGGCCUUCGGGUUGUAAAGCACUUUCAGCGAGGAGGAAGGUGGUGAGCUUAAUACGCUCAUCAAUUGACGUUACUCGCAGAAGAAGCACCGGCUAACUCCGUGCCAGCAGCCGCGGUAAUACGGAGGGUGCAAGCGUUAAUCGGAAUUACUGGGCGUAAAGCGCACGCAGGCGGUUUGUUAAGUCAGAUGUGAAAUCCCCGGGCUCAACCUGGGAACUGCAUUUGAAACUGGCAAGCUAGAGUCUCGUAGAGGGGGGUAGAAUUCCAGGUGUAGCGGUGAAAUGCGUAGAGAUCUGGAGGAAUACCGGUGGCGAAGGCGGCCCCCUGGACGAAGACUGACGCUCAGGUGCGAAAGCGUGGGGCAGCAAACAGGAUUAGAUACCCUGGUAGUCCACGCUGUAAACGAUGUCGAUUUUGGAGGUUGUGCCCCUUGAGGCGUGGCUUCCGGAGCUAACGCGUUAAAUCGACCGCCUGGGGAGUAC
rnacentral:rRNA from 1 species